AUUAAUUAGGUGUAUAAGCAUAUUAAUUUUUCGUAUUAAUGGAGCCGUUUGGCAAUUAAUA
rnacentral:tRNA from 1 species